UACGUAGGGCGCAAGCGUUGUCCGGAAUUAUUGGGCGUAAAGAGCUCGUAGGCGGUCUGUCGCGUCGGAUGUGAAAGCCCGGGGCUUAACCCCGGGUCUGCAUUCGAUACGGGCAGACUAGAGUGUGGUAGGGGAGAUCGGAAUUCCUGGUGUAGCGGUGAAAUGCGCAGAUAUCAGGAGGAACACCCGUGGCGAAGGCGGCUCUCUGGGACGGUACUGACGCUGAGGCGCGAAAGCUAGGGUAGCAAACGGG
rnacentral:rRNA from 1 species